CUGGUCUCACAUGGUGGAUAGA
rnacentral:miRNA from 8 species